GCUCAGAUUGAACGCUGGCGGCAGGCCUAACACAUGCAAGUCGAACGGUAACAGGAAGCAGCUUGCUGCUUUGCUGACGAGUGGCGGACGGGUGAGUAAUGUCUGGGAAACUGCCUGAUGGAGGGGGAUAACUACUGGAAACGGUGGCUAAUACCGCAUAACGUCGCAAGACCAAAGAGGGGGACCUUCGGGCCUCUUGCCAUCAGAUGUGCCCAGAUGGGAUUAGCUUGUUGGUGAGGUAACGGCUCACCAAGGCGACGAUCCCUAGCUGGUCUGAGAGGAUGACCAGCCACACUGGAACUGAGACACGGUCCAGACUCCUACGGGAGGCAGCAGUGGGGAAUAUUGCACAAUGGGCGCAAGCCUGAUGCAGCCAUGCCGCGUGUAUGAAGAAGGCCUUCGGGUUGUAAAGUACUUUCAGCGGGGAGGAAGGUGUUGUGGUUAAUAACCGCAGCAAUUGACGUUACCCGCAGAAGAAGCACCGGCUAACUCCGUGCCAGCAGCCGCGGUAAUACGGAGGGUGCAAGCGUUAAUCGGAAUUACUGGGCGUAAAGCGCACGCAGGCGGUCUGUCAAGUCGGAUGUGAAAUCCCCGGGCUCAACCUGGGAACUGCAUUCGAAACUGGCAGGCUUGAGUCUUGUAGAGGGGGGUAGAAUUCCAGGUGUAGCGGUGAAAUGCGUAGAGAUCUGGAGGAAUACCGGUGGCGAAGGCGGCCCCCUGGACAAAGACUGACGCUCAGGUGCGAAAGCGUGGGGAGCAAACAGGAUUAGAUACCCUGGUAGUCCACGCCGUAAACGAUGUCUACUUGGAGGUUGUGCCCUUGAGGCGUGGCUUCCGGAGCUAACGCGUUAAGUAGACCGCCUGGGGAGUACGGCCGCAAGGUUAAAACUCAAAUGAAUUGACGGGGGCCCGCACAAGCGGUGGAGCAUGUGGUUUAAUUCGAUGCAACGCGAAGAACCUUACCUGGUCUUGACAUCCACAGAACUUUCCAGAGAUGGAUUGGUGCCUUCGGGAACUGUGAGACAGGUGCUGCAUGGCUGUCGUCAGCUCGUGUUGUGAAAUGUUGGGUUAAGUCCCGCAACGAGCGCAACCCUUAUCCUUUGUUGCCAGCGGUCCGGCCGGGAACUCAAAGGAGACUGCCAGUGAUAAACUGGAGGAAGGUGGGGAUGACGUCAAGUCAUCAUGGCCCUUACGACCAGGGCUACACACGUGCUACAAUGGCGCAUACAAAGAGAAGCGACCUCGCGAGAGCAAGCGGACCUCAUAAAGUGCGUCGUAGUCCGGAUUGGAGUCUGCAACUCGACUCCAUGAAGUCGGAAUCGCUAGUAAUCGUGGAUCAGAAUGCCACGGUGAAUACGUUCCCGGGCCUUGUACACACCGCCCGUCACACCAUGGGAGUGGGUUGCAAAAGAAGUAGGUAGCUUAACCUUCGGGAGGGCGCUUACCACUUUGUGAUUCAUGACUGGGGUGAAGUCUAAAAGG
rnacentral:rRNA from 1 species